rnacentral:rRNA from 1 species
GUGCGAGAGGGGCAUCCCUUUUGUACCAAAGGAGCAAUCCGCUGAAAGAUGGGCUCAUGACUGAUUAGUUAGUUGGCAGGGCAACGGCCUACCAAGACUGCGAUCAGUAGCCGGACUGAGAGGUUGAACGGCCACAUUGGGACUGAGAUACGGCCCAGACUCCUACGGGAGGCAGCAGUGGGGAAUAUUGGGCAAUGGGCGAAAGCCUGACCCAGCAACGCCGCGUGAAGGAAGAAGGUCUUCGGAUUGUAAACUUCUUGUAUGAGGGACGAAGGACGUGACGGUACCUCAUGAAUAAGCCACGGCUAACUACGUGCCAGCAGCCGCGGUAAUACGUAGGUGGCGAGCGUUAUCCGGAUUUACUGGGUGUAAAGGGCGCGUAGGCGGAUCAGCAAGUCAGAUGUGAAAUCCAUGGGCUUAACUCAUGAACUGCAUUUGAAACUGUUGAUCUUGAGUGCUGGAGAGGUAGACGGAAUUCCUAGUGUAGCGGUGAAAUGCGUAGAUAUUAGGAAGAACACCGGCGGCGAAGGCGGUCUACUGGACAGUAACUGACGCUGAGGCGCGAAAGCGUGGGGAGCAA